CCUACGGGAGGCAGCAGUGGGGAAUAUUGCACAAUGGAGGAGACCCUGAUGCAGCGACGCCGCGUGAAUGAAGAAGUAAUUCGUUAUGUAAAGCUCUAUCAGCAGAGAAAAAAAUGACGGUACCUGUGUAAGAAGCCCCGGCUAACUACGUGCCAGCAGCCGCGGUAAUACGUAGGGUGCAAGCGUUAUCCGGAUUUACUGGGUGUAAAGGGAGCGUAGACGGCAUGGCAAGUCUGGAGUGAAAGGCGGCGGCUCAACCCUCGGACUGCUCUGGAAACUGUACGGCUUGAGUGCAGGAGAGGUAAGUGGAAUUCGUAGUGUAGCGGUGAAAUGCGUAGAUAUUAGGAGGAACACCAGUGGCGAAGGCGGCUUACUGGACUGUAACUGACGUUGAGGCUCGAAAGCGUGGGGAGCAAACAGGAUUAGAUACCCCGGUAGUC
rnacentral:rRNA from 1 species